UGGGGAAUAUUGCACAAUGGGCGCAAGCCUGAUCCAGCAAUGCCGCGUGAACGAUGAAGGUCUUCGGAUCGUAAAGUUCUGUUGCUGGGGAAGAUAAUGACGGUACCCCGUGAGGAAGCCCCGGCUAACUACGUGCCAGCAGCCGCGGUAAUACGUAGGGGGCUAGCGUUAUCCGGAUUUACUGGGCGUAAAGGGGGCGUAGGUGGUCUUUCAAGUCGGUGGUUAAAGGCUACGGCUCAACCGUAGUUAGCCUCCGAAACUGGAAGACUUGAGUGCAGGAGAGGAAAGUGGAAUUCCCAGUGUAGCGGUGAAAUGCGUAGAUAUUGGGAGGAACACCAGUGGCGAAGGCGGCUUUCUGGACUGCAACUGACACUGAGGCACGAAAGCGUGGGUAGCAAACAGG
rnacentral:rRNA from 1 species